UCCGCCUCCCAGGUUCAAGUAAUUCCCCUGC
rnacentral:piRNA from 1 species